GCCGUCGCCUGCCCACCCCGCGGCUGCAGCGUUCCCUGGGGCCUAGCCAACCGCGGGCAGGGCUGGGCAAGGCGGGAGGAGCGCGGACCCAAGAUCGGCUACGCUGCGUCUGCUCAGGCUGCGAGUUCCCGGCUCUGGGGACUCACCUUGCGGAGCUUACCCAGGCGGACUCUCCGCAGCCCCUGAUGGGUGUGUGUGUCAGACCGUUUACUAAACACCAGGACUGUUGUAGGCGACUAAAAGAAAACUGAGAUCCAGGAAAGGGAAGUGAUUUUCCAAAGACACACCUGUGAAAGGUGAGGAGAACAGCCCAGUGAGGCUGAGGCCACACAAUUAACCCCAGUCUUUGCACUACAACUCUACCAGGGAUCCUGGUUUGGCUCAUUUUCUUUCUUCUGCACCAUGAUUGUUCACCUUUUCAUUACCAGCAACAUACCCAAAGACCUAGCUAUAGACUCGUUGGAAUCUGUUACUUAGCAGCUGUGUGAAUCAAGUGUUCAAUAGGAAUAAUAAGAUGUAUUCAUCUUACCUUUUCAGAACAUUAUGAAGAACAAAUGUGGUAAGACAUAUGAAAAUGCUUUGUAAAGUGUUAGAUGCUUAAUACACAGAAGACAUUGCUUCCAGAUCUGUUUCAACGUACCCCAAGAAUGGAAUAAGUGGAAUAUGCUGGUUUCAUGCACUGUGGCAAGGGGGUCUCAUCUUGGCUAGACUUGAAUAAGUGGAUUUGUUGCCUGGCCUCUGUGGAUGGCUCUUUCUCUGGGCUUUUGUGUAUUUGAUUUUUUAUUUGCUCCAGCAGCCGUGUUGAACCAUGAAAGGACCUCAGGAAUGAAACCCACACACAGCAAAGCAACAAAGUGAAAGAAGCGUGGAUUCCUAAUGCAGGAGGCACUGAACCAAUCAAUACCCACUGCCCUCCAGACCUCCACAUGAAAGAAAAAAACUGCUGUCCUGUGUAAGACACUUUUAUUUUGUGUUUCUAUUGUAUGAGGUCAAACCUAAUAACAGAUAUAUUACACUCUAACAGAUACAUUACAUUGUAUAGUAGAAUUCUCAGACAGCAACCUUAUAAGGUGAUAGAUGCAGAAACAGGCCCAAAGAGUAAAAAUAAUUUGUUCAGAGUUUUCCAGCCAAGUGGCGAAGGUGAGAUUCUUACCUGGGUUUGUCUGAAACCAAUUUUCACUAUCUUUUUCAGUUAUGAUACACUGCCUAUUACGAAUGAAUGAAUCCUUUUUUUUUUUUCCAUUUACUUCCAUUUGAUUCAUUUAUUCCAGGGAGUGACACUUUUUCUGUAAAGGACCGAUAGUAAAUAUUUUAGACUUUGUGAGCAAUA
rnacentral:lncRNA from 10 species